rnacentral:Y_RNA from 1 species
GGCUGGUCCUAUGGUAAUGCGUUGUCAGAACUUACUAACAUUAGUGUCACUAAAGUUGGUAUACAACCCCCCACAGCUAAAUUUGACUGACUUAAA